rnacentral:rRNA from 1 species
UGGAAAGUUUUUUCGGUUGGGGAUGGGCUCGCGGCCUAUCAGUUUGUUGGUGAGGUAAUGGCUCACCAAGACGACGACGGGUAGCCGGCCUGAGAGGGCGACCGGCCACACUGGGACUGAGACACGGCCCAGACUCCUACGGGAGGCAGCAGUGGGGAAUAUUGCACAAUGGGGGAAACCCUGAUGCAGCGACGCAGCGUGCGGGAUGACGGCCUUCGGGUUGUAAACCGCUUUCAGCAGGGAAGAAGCCCUUCGGGGUGACGGUACCUGCAGAAGAAGUACCGGCUAACUACGUGCCAGCAGCCGCGGUAAUACGUAGGGUACAAGCGUUGUCCGGAAUUAUUGGGCGUAAAGAGCUCGUAGGUGGUUGGUCACGUCUGCUGUGGAAACGCAACGCUUAACGUUGCGCGUGCAGUGGGUACGGGCUGACUAGAGUGCAGUAGGGGAGUCUGGAAUUCCUGGUGUAGCGGUGAAAUGCGCAGAUAUCAGGAGGAACACCGGUGGCGAAGGCGGGACUCUGGGCUGUAACUGACACUGAGGAGCGAAAGCAUGGGGAGCGAACAGGAUUAGAUACCCUGGUAGUCCAUGCCGUAAACGUUGGGCACUAGGUGUGGGGGACAUUCCACGUUCUCCGCGCCGUAGCUAACGCAUUAAGUGCCCCGCCUGGGGAGUACGGUCGCAAGGCUAAAACUCAAAGGAAUUGACGGGGGCCCGCACAAGCGGCGGAGCAUGCGGAUUAAUUCGAUGCAACGCGAAGAACCUUACCAAGGCUUGACAUACACCAGACCGUUCUGGAAACAGUUCCUCCCCUUUGGGGUUGGUGUACAGGUGGUGCAUGGUUGUCGUCAGCUCGUGUCGUGAGAUGUUGGGUUAAGUCCCGCAACGAGCGCAACCCUCGUUCUAUGUUGCCAGCACGUAAUGGUGGGAACUCAUAGGAGACUGCCGGGGUCAACUCGGAGGAAGGUGGGGAUGACGUCAAAUCAUCAUGCCCUUUAUGUCUUGGGCUUCACGCAUGCUACAAUGGCUGGUACAGAGAGAUGCGAGACCGCGAGGUUUUAGCGAAUCCCUUAAAGCCAGUCUCAGUUCGGAUCGUAGUCUGCAAUUCGACUACGUGAAGUCGGAGUCGCUAGAAUCGCAGAU